rnacentral:rRNA from 1 species
UACGGGGGGGGCAAGCGUUGUUCGGAAUUACUGGGCGUAAAGGGCUCGUAGGUGGCCAAUUAAGUCAGACGUGAAAUCCCUCGGCUUAACCGGGGAACUGCGUCUGAUACUGGAUGGCUUGAGUUCGGGAGAGGGAUGCGGAAUUCCAGGUGUAGCGGUGAAAUGCGUAGAUAUCUGGAGGAACACCGGUGGCGAAGGCGGCAUCCUGGACCGACACUGACACUGAGGAGCGAAAGCCAGGGGAGCAAACGGG